CGUCUAAGCUUGUCCUUCACGGAACGUGCUAACUCAGUGGGUAACGAUCCUGUGGUUAAGAGAUUAACUAUAUACGUAUACCAUGGAUAGUGAGCCUCAGUCGAAAAUAAGCUUUCAUCAGGGAACUCAUCCUUUAUAGGAACAUCAUCAAAUAGAGUUUUUAUCCUACUCAAGUGGUUAGCCACCUGGUUUUCACAUCCCUUUUUG
rnacentral:lncRNA from 1 species